GACGAACGCUGGCGGCGUGCCUAACACAUGCAAGUCAGAGGAGAAAGGGGUAGCAAUACCCCGAGUACACUGGCGCAAGGGUGAGUAACACGUAGGCAACCUGCCCACAGGACGGGAAUAACUCCGCGAAAGCGGGGCUAAUACCCGAUGAUGCAGCGGCACCGCAUGGUGACAGUUGUUAAACCCUCGGGGCCUGUGGAUGGGCCUGCGUCCCAUUAGAUCGUUGGCGGGUAAUGGCCCACCAAGUCUGCGAUGGGUAGCUGGUCUGAGAGGACGAUCAGCCACACUGGAACUGAGACACGGUCCAGACUCCUACGGGAGGCAGCAGUGAGGAAUAUUGCGCAAUGGCCGAAAGGCUGACGCAGCGACGCCGCGUGAAGGAUGAAGGCCCUAUGGGUCGUAAACUUCUUUUGGAGGAGAAGAAUGUGCUGCUACAGGCGGCAUUGACGGUAUCCUUCGAAUAAGCACCGGCUAACUACGUGCCAGCAGCCGCGGUAAUACGUAGGGUGCGAGCGUUGUCCGGAUUCACUGGGUGUAAAGGGAGCGCAGGCGGGUUGGCAAGUCAUUGGUGAAAUUCUCAGGCUCAACUUGGGGACUGCCAAUGAUACUGCUGAUCUUGAGUGCGGGAGAGGAAGACGGAACUCCUGGUGUAGCGGUGAAAUGCGUAGAUAUCAGGAAGAACACCGGUGGCGAAGGCGGUCUUCUGGCCGUUACUGACGCUCAUGCUCGAAAGCGU
rnacentral:rRNA from 1 species